CCUACGGGAGGCAGCAGUGGGGGAUAUUGCACAAUGGGGGGAACCCUGAUGCAGCGACGCCGCGUGGGUGAAGAAGCGCCUCGGCGUGUAAAGCUCUGUCAGCAGGGAAGAAAAUGACGGUACCUGAAGAUGAAGCCCCGGCUAACUACGUGCCAGCAGCCGCGGUAAUACGGCGGGGGCAAGCGUUAUCCGGAUUUACUGGGGGUAAAGGGGGCGGAGACGGCGAUGCAAGGCAGGAGUGAAAGCCCGGGGCCCAACCCCGGGACUGCUGUUGAAACUGCGUGGCUAGAGUGCAGGAGGGGCAGGCGGAAUUCAUGGUGUAGCGGUGAAAUGCGUAGAGAUCA
rnacentral:rRNA from 1 species